UAUAACUCUCCCAGCUGGAUGGUGUUGAAUGAACUGUGAAAGAUCAAAACAAGCAACUGCCAAAGCCCUUGGGUCACUGGAACUGUCCAGAAUGGUGAUUAGGACCCUCAAUAUCUUCAAGUCGUUCUCUUCGAAGCUUGUAAUAUUUUCUCGCCAGAAAUUUACAUCUUUGUGCAUGGGAGACCAGUCAAGAUGCCCGAGAAGGACUUCUUGCUUAUACUUGUCGAAAGAACUUAGUUUCUUGAUGUUUUCUUUCAGCCCCUCUUCUAGUUGA
rnacentral:misc_RNA from 1 species